rnacentral:tRNA from 1 species
GGAGUUGUGGCUCAGCGGUAGAGCGCUUGCCUAGCAUGUGUGAGGCCCUGGGUUCAAUCCUCAGCACCA